rnacentral:rRNA from 1 species
AUUGAACGCUGGCGGCAUGCCUUACACAUGCAAGUCGAACGGCAGCGGGGGAGAAGCUUGCUUUUCCUGCCGGCGAGUGGCGAACGGGUGAGUAAUACAUCGGAACGUGCCCUGUAGUGGGGGAUAACUAGUCGAAAGAUUAGCUAAUACCGCAUACGACCUGAGGGUGAAAGUGGGGGACCGCAAGGCCUCAUGCUAUAGGAGCGGCCGAUGUCUGAUUAGCUAGUUGGUGGGGUAAAGGCCUACCAAGGCGACGAUCAGUAGCUGGUCUGGGAGGACGAUCAGCCACACUGGGACGGAGACACGGCCCAGACUCCUACGGGAGGCAGCAGUGGGGAAUUUUGGACAAUGGGCGAAAGCCUGAUCCAGCAAUGCCGCGUGUGUGAAGAAGGCCUUCGGGUUGUAAAGCACUUUUGUCCGGAAAGAAAUGGCUCUGGUUAAUACCUGGGGUCGAUGACGGUACCGGAAGAAUAAGGACCGGCUAACUACGUGCCAGCAGCCGCCGUAA